CCUGCGGCUGGAGGUGCGUAACUGAUGCGCACCGAUUCUUCCCGCACAGCGAUCGACCAGGCGGCGCUUGGUGCUGGGACCCCGGCGGUGGCGGCGGCGGCGCGAGCGCGCGGCCCAGGGCCCGGCGAAGGCGGGGUGUCUUGUACGAAGCAACGCGCAGAGCUCUUUGCGUGCCGCGUUUAAAUCUUGCGAUGCUAUCUGCUGUCAUCGGAUGGAGAGGACGUAAUUCAGCCGCUCGGGCUGAUACAAGUCGAACUCAGAAGUCGUUUGCAAGGUAGUUGAGGAAGGGAGCCGGGGAGCUGGAGAUGCUGAUUUGCAAACUUAUGAACUGGAAAGCUAACAUGUAAAGCAAAAAAAACCCCCMCMCAACMCCCCCCCCCCCCCAAAACAAAACAAAAAAAGCAGAACAAAAGCACAGCUCUGAUUACGGAGCCAGCGCCGCCUCUGCUGCAGGCCGAGCGCGUUGGUCACCUUGGCAGCUGUUGGGAGCUGAGCUGCGGACGUGGCUUUCCCACCCCGCAAGGCGCAAGGUCAAGCCGUUCUGCACGGGGCAGCUCCGGGCACGUCCGGCAGCGCCCGGCCGGGGGCCGCCAGCCUCCCGGGCCAUGAGGAGGGGGCGUCUCGUCCUCCCUGAUUCUUUCCCCUCGCUACGGCAAACGAAGGCUGACGCUGGUUCCUCUGCCGCUAACGGGGCCGCGCAGCGUUUUAUAUUUGCCCUGGGGAAAGGGGGAAAGGCUCCAGCAGCUCGGGCACCUGCUUGGCCCCUUGGCUCACGCAGGUACGAGCAGCUCUCACGGCGUUUCCUGCCCGCGUUUCGUUAAAGGUGGCACAUUACUGCAGGGUUUUAGUUUUGGUUUUGAUGAACUUUUAUUUUCGAAAAAAAGAAAAAAGAAAAGAAAGACCAAGACAACGAGCGCUGUUGGAGCUGCCUGACCCUGGGCACGCGCAGGCGUCCCGCCGCCGGGGAGCUGGUCAAGCCUGCAGCGCCGUGCCGGAGGGGGCCGGGAAGAGCCUGGAGAAGACCGAGCUGCCACCGCCGUUUUCCAGGGAAGGGCUAAGCCCUCUGGUGAGGCUCUGGGCUGAAGCGAGCGCUGGGGGAGAUGCAGGAGGCCCCUGCCCGGUGGAAGAUGUUCCUUUUCCCUUCCUGCCCGCCGGUGACGCUAUGCAGCGCCGCUCUGUUUGCAGCGCGCCUUUCAGGCGAGCGCUGUGUUUUGCUGGGCUGAGCAGCUCAAGAAAAUAG
ensembl:lncRNA